rnacentral:rRNA from 1 species
GACGAACCGUGCAAACGUUAUUCGGAAUCACUGGGCUUAAAGGGCGCGUAGGCGGGCUGUCAAGUCUGGGGUGAAAUCCCGCGGCUCAACCGUGGAACUGCCUCAGAUACUGACGGCCUCGAGGGAGGUAGGGGCAUGCGGAACUGUAGGUGGAGCGGUGAAAUGCGUUGAUAUCUACAGGAACUCCGGUGGCGAAAGCGGCGUGCUGGACCUCUUCUGACGCUGAGGCGCGAAAGCUAGGGGAGCAAACGGG